GAGGUGUUCAUUUAGAUAAAAGGGGCUGCUAACCUUUUUUAGAGUAACUAAUAUUUAUUCACACCUCU
rnacentral:tRNA from 1 species